CCCUGGAGUCGACUCCAUUUCCCAAGAAAAGAUGUCAACAGCGCGACUUGUAACAACUAUAAGGCCGAGGAGGGUUAUUUGAACACACACCAUUCAAUUAUUAUAAAUGAAAGUCACGUUUUGUAACCGCUCUGGUCUCGUCCCAGCGGAAGUGACGCUAGCACGUCAUCAGAAUACAACAGAUCAACACGACGAGAGAGACAUUCUGCCGCUAGACGAAGGUCACCGAGCAGCGACGAAGUUUGCAUUUUCGGUAGAGGUCCAGGGAGCCACGAGGGCGGUGCUAAAGAGACGCGGGUUGCUGACCCCCGGCCUACACCCUAGACUGGCCGCCAGUUCAUCACAGGACACAUGAACAAGCCUUCGCCCUCAAAUCAGAGAAAGCAGCAUCUGCUCAUCCAGAAACAACAACACCAGAAAUGUGUCCCGUGAAAAACCGUCCGACCAGAACUCUAAUAACUAAAGUUCCUUGGGUGAAUAAUGGUAACUCACUACACCGGUAUGUUUUAGGGCUUUCAUGGCGAGUUUACUGACUGAAAUAAGUAAUAACUUUACACUGCUUUUUAUUAGAAAUGGCAACAGCAGAGGAUGGAUGUCCCAUAACAAGAAGGUGGAGAAAAAGAAGAAGCUUAUCGACUACGGUGUCGGCACGGACUACAAAGGCGGACCUGCACAAAUUUUCAGGUACCAG